rnacentral:lncRNA from 1 species
CUGUGUAUGGGAUGUGGGGUGUGGGGCGUGUAGAAGUGGUGUGUGAGAAGUGGAAGUGGUGUGUGGAAGCUGAGCGGAAAUUGAAAAGCAGUGUGUAGCAGUGGAGUGGAAAUGGAAGCGGUGUGCAGAGGUGGUGCGGGUGGAGUUGGCGGACCCGGCAGCAGUUGGGUGCGAGGUGAGACACGCCUGCAGCGUGGGUAGGCCUGUUGUAAACCCUGGGACAUGGUAAAACCCACCGGUAUCUCCGCAUCUGCCGCAGUCCCCCCCUGUCCUCCACUAGUUUGGUUUGGGCUAGUAUUUACAAACCCCCUCAAUCCCACCGAUCCCACCUUGCAAACAGGUCGUCGAGCAGCUCCACCACGUUCUGGAAGGAGUCGCGGAAGAUGCCGCUCAUGUUACAAAGCACGUCCACACGCGGCCGGCCUGAGGAGAAGGGGGAUGAUGAGCUAAGAAAAUGGUAGACAAAAGGCAAUCUUGGGGGAACAUCCAGGGAGGGGGGAGGAAUACGAGUGGUGGGAUGAGGGGUGAUUGGUGAGAGAGAUGCGUAGAUAUACGCGGCACACAGGCGGCGGGUCCGGGCCUCCACAUACCGUGUGCCUGCCUGCCCCGCCUUCCUCCCACCUCCACCGAACACGUCCACCAAACAUCUUGACCCAACAACACCACAGCCAACAGGCUGCCCCUCCCACGCCCGCCCUCACUCACCCAACUCUGACAGCGGCACCAGUUGGAAGCGCGCGACGCGGCCCGUACCCUCGCG